rnacentral:misc_RNA from 1 species
GAUGAAGAACGCAGUGAAAUGCGAUAAGUAAUGUGAAUUGCAGAAUUCAGUGAAUCAUCGAAUCUUUGAACGCACAUUGCGCCCCCUGGUAUUCCGGGGGGCAUGCCUGUUCGAGCGUCAUUACAACCCUCAAGCUCUGCUUGGUAUUGGGCCCCGCCAGUUCUGGCGGGCCCUAAAGUCAGUGGCGGUGCCUUCCGGCUCCGAGCGUAGUAAUUCCUCUCGCUCUGGAGACCCGGUUGUGUGCUUGCCAACAACCCCCAAUUUUUUAAGGUUGACCUCGGAUCAGGUAGGGAUACCCGCUGAACUUAAGCAUAUCAAUAAGCGGAGGA